GAGGUUUCUAUAGUCAAGCGCGCAAAAUUUAUAUUUUCUUUAAAAAAAAUAUUGAAGUGGCCAUAAGGUCCCAAGUGUUCGUAUAUAGAUCAAAAUAAUAUGAAAAUUAACACAAAAAAUAAAUGUAGUCUCCGUAAAAUGUUACACAUCUUUCAAUAAAUGAGUUUCUCAUGGCCAGUACCAAGAGGUAUUGCAGUAUCUCUUCAUCAUUCCCUGACCUAUCUUUAAAGGCAAAAAUCUCC
rnacentral:lncRNA from 1 species